rnacentral:rRNA from 1 species
AUACGGAGGGGGUUAGCGUUGUUCGGAAUUACUGGGCGUAAAGCGCGCGUAGGCGGAUUGGUAAGUUAGAGGUGAAAUCCCGGGGCUCAACCCCGGAACUGCCUUUUAUACUGCCAGUCUUGAGUUCGAGAGAGGUGAGUGGAAUUCCUAGUGUAGAGGUGAAAUUCGUAGAUAUUAGGAGGAACACCAGUGGCGAAGGCGGCUCACUGGCUCGAUACUGACGCUGAGGUGCGAAAGCGUGGGGAGCAAACAGGAUUAGAAACCCCAGUAGUCC